GCCGGCGUAGCUCAGUGGCAGAGCAGCUGAUUCGUAAUCAGCAGGUCGCGGGUUCGACUCCCAUCGCCGGCUCCA
rnacentral:tRNA from 1 species